rnacentral:rRNA from 1 species
GAUGGGCCCGCGGCGCAUUAGCUAGUUGGUAGGGUAAAGGCUUACCAAGGCAAUGAUGCGUAGCCGAAUUGAGAGGUUGAUCGGCCACAUUGGGACUGAGACACGGCCCAAACUCCUACGGGAGGCAGCAGUAGGGAAUCUUCCACAAUGGGCGAAAGCCUGAUGGAGCAACGCCGCGUGGGUGAAGAAGGUCUUCGGAUCGUAAAACCCUGUUGUUAGAGAAGAAAGUGCGUGAGAGUAACUGUUCACGUUUCGACGGUAUCUAACCAGAAAGCCACGGCUAACUACGUGCCAGCAGCCGCGGUAAUACGUAGGUGGCAAGCGUUAUCCGGAUUUAUUGGGCGUAAAGGGAACGCAGGCGGUCUUUUAAGUCUGAUGUGAAAGCCUUCGGCUUAACCGGAGUAGUGCAUUGGAAACUGGGAGACUUGAGUGCAGAAGAGGAGAGUGGAACUCCAUGUGUAGCGGUGAAAUGCGUAGAUAUAUGGAAGAACACCAGUGGCGAAAGCGGCUCUCUGGUCUGUAACUGACGCUGAGGUUCGAAAGCGUGGGUAGCAAACAGGAUUAGAUACCCUGGUAGUCCACGCCGUAAACGAUGAAUGCUAAGUGUUGGAGGGUUUCCGCCCUUCA